GAAAUAUUUUGAUGUCUGGAUGGAUUGGACCAACAUUUGGUGGAGACGUUCAUGGUUCCUAGAUAAUGUAUCCUAAUGACUUUGCUCCAAAAGGAAACACUGUCUGGAGAAACACAAACAGUCUCCAAACCCCAGGAAGUCCUGCCAGCUAAAUGUCAGACUCAGAAUGGACUUCCGUCUCUCCAGGGAAUCCUUCAGGGCAUCCAGGAAUUUCACACACCCCACAAAACAAGCAAGAAUGUCCUCUCUCUCCUACCCCCGAUCGUUCGCCAUUCUUCCAUCUGAGGAGGAUCUGCCUCACCUGGCAGCAGGGUUUGCUCGUUUGGCCAGGUCUGCAGCUUUCAACAGGGUUGUUGGCAGCACUGACGGCUGCCACAUACGUGUGAGGCCACCAACAGAGGAUGCAGCCUGUUACCUGAAUAGAAAACUGUUCCUCUCUGUCCAGUUUCAGGCUGUCUGUGACCCCACAGCCAAGUUUAUUGACAUCUUCACUGGUUUCCCAGAACCGGUGCAUGAUGCAAGGGUGUUAAAGAACAGCCCCAUAUAUUACCUCCAGAAAUACCCUCCACCUGGCUUCUUAAGACCAGGUGGAAGUCCUUUGUCUUGAAGGCACUGGAGUUGGAUGUCAUCUAUAUGCCCAAGGUCAUCUCCUGAGCAGCAGGGGACCACCCAGAACCAGCACAUCUGGAUGCCAUAUGUGAGGCGAGGACAGGCACAGGAUGGCAAUUCAUGAUAUGGUAUGAUAUGAUAUAUCAGUUUAUACAUGUCAAUGUAGAUAUGUGUAUGAAUAUAUAUGACAUCAUUUGAUGAUUAAUACUGAAACAUCAAUGUAUAAUCCACAGUUACUGUUGUAGCUGCUGCAGGCGGAGAUACUUUGUAAAAGUCUGUUUGGUGAAGCUUUUAACAGCUCACACAUCUGAAAUGUGACCCACACUACACACAUCAGAAGCCAAAGAGGUUGGAAACCACUGGUUCAAAUGUUGAUCAUGUGUUACAUUUUCAGCUUGUUUAAUGAUCUGUUGUGUAAAAGCUUCAUCUCAGGACUGAACAGUAACUAAAGCCGAGAAAUGCAACAUUUGCCUCUGAAACGCAGUGGGAUAAAUCAUUUUACUUAACUCGGACAUUAAUGUGGGUGAGUAUUUCUUUGCUGUUGACUAAAUAUUAAAAUAUAUAUACGUAUAUAUAUAUAUAUAUAUUGCUUGUUCACCAGUGUCUCCAGGACUACUAGGAAGUGAUCCUCCCUAGCGACAGUCUCUCUGUCCCUCCUCCCCUCCCUCUCCAUCUCUUUAAAGAA